rnacentral:snoRNA from 1 species
GAGACUGUACUUCUCAGGAUCAUUUCUGUAGUACGGUUUCCCGGUGGGAGUUCCACCUUGCUCGCCAAAGCACCCGCGAUGACGAGACUCGGCGUCGUCCCCUGAGCGUGAAGCUCGCCGGGGUCGUCGCUGGAAAGCAUUUUUGGUGAUCGCCCGGCGUUGAGGAACGUCGGCUGGCCCCCCUUGGGGGUCGGCCGCGGGGGCGACGCUCUCUGAGCGGG